rnacentral:lncRNA from 1 species
UCCUAAAUGUCAAUGAAAACUCAACUUUCUUUAUUUUAAUAUUAUUUAGGCCGAAGUUUUUGGGUUUUUGAUCCAAUUGUGUUAGUUUUAUUGAUUAUUAAAUUUUAUUUUGUCCUUUAUUAUUUUAAGGAUAUCCACUGACCGGAAAAUCUAACUUAAAUAAAAUGGAAAUUUUAGGUUAGAUACCAAACCCGAAACCUAAUAUUUUGUAACUGCAAUUAUAAUAUAUUCUCAAAAUGUUGUGUCGAAACAUAAAAAAUCGCUAUAUCAAUUAUGCAGUCACUGUAUUCAGAUAUAAUUCGACAGCUUCGCAAGUCAUUUUGGAAACCUUGCCAGAGCGUGACG